rnacentral:misc_RNA from 1 species
CGACCUCCCAGAGUCUGAGUCUUCGCGGUGCCUCGCACCGAUGACGGCGCGGCUGCGCCGUCAUUUGCACGGCUUGCAGCCGUGCGGGAUGCCGUGCGCAAGCGCGGUCAGACCAGACAAUGGGAAUUGAAACGCCAUGAAAUUCACGAUCAGCUCGGGCGCCGGAUCGCUCGCACUUGCGUCACUUAUGCUCGCCGCACCGCUUGCUCCGGCUUGGGCGGCAGCCACCGACUACGAAUUCCAGCUCGUUGAAUCGACCAUCAAGCAAGGCGAUGGCGCCGUCAUAGCGGUGCGCCUGCUGGACAAGCGGUCGGGGCAAUCGGUGCCGGAUGCGGUCAUUUUCGCGACCCGCAUGGACAUGGCUCCGGACGGGAUGGAGAUGAUGGCGACGCCGGUCGAG